AGAAGAUAGCCGGCGUGUCAUAUGCCCACAUGGAGAUUCAUUUGAAGAAGCUACGUAUGUCGUGCGGGAACUUAAUAAAAUAGUGAAUAACUAUUGGAGGGGGCCGUGGAUUAGUUAUAGUAGCACUCCAAGAGAAGUAAAAGAUUUGUGGUGGAACGAGUUCAAGG